CCUACGUGAGGCAGCAGUAGGGAAUCUUCCACAAUGGGCGAAAGCCUGAUGGAGCAACGCCGCGUGGGUGAAGAAGGUCUUCGGAUCGUAAAACCCUGUUGUUAGAGAAGAAAGUGAGUGAGAGUAACUGUUCACGUUUCGACGGUAUCUAACCAGAAAGCCACGGCUAACUACGUGCCAGCAGCCGCGGUAAUACGUAGGUGGCAAGCGUUAUCCGGAUUUAUUGGGCGUAAAGGGAACGCAGGCGGUCUUUUAAGUCUGAUGUGAAAGCCUUCGGCUUAACCGGAGUAGUGCAUUGGAAACUGGGAGACUUGAGUGCAGAAGAGGAGAGUGGAACUCCAUGUGUAGCGGUGAAAUGCGUAGAUAUAUGGAAGAACACCAGUGGCGAAAGCGGCUCUCUGGUCUGUAACUGACGCUGAGGUUCGAAAGCGUGGGUAGCAAACAGGAUUAGAUACCCUUGUAGUC
rnacentral:rRNA from 1 species